UCAAAAUGAAGAGGGAUUUUGCAGUGGAAGCAUCGGCAUUAGCUGAGGGCCGUUUUGCGUGCCAACCUUGAAGAGGCUUGUGCACCAACUGGAGUGUCCUGAGGAACUUUUGAUGCUUGUGAAGAUCCAAACAAGUGAUUAAAUCAUAUUUGUUAACAAGAUUACUGUGAAGAUGUCCACUUCAAGCUCCAAUUUUGUCACCGGAAGAAAAACUAUUUUCAUGGAAAAAGCGAAUGUUGUGGAAUCAGCAAAUAAUCUGUCAAUUGCAGCCAAGAGUUUAAUGAAAAGGUUUUCAAGAAGACAACAUUUUCUCAUUUAUAGGAGUUUUUCCUAAGCUAUUUCCUGUAUUAAAUUGGCUUGAGUGGAAGAAUUGUCCUUCAUCUUUUGAGGCGACCUAUUUUGCAUUUGGAGAAAUUACUUGUGCUGGAGUUGAUAUUGAGCGCAAUCAGAGAUCAUGGGAAGCAUGGAGUUCAAUCAUGAUGGCAAAGCAGCUGAAAGUCCUGAGACUUACAUAUUGCUAUUUUCGAGACAUACACCCUACUUCUCAGCUUUCAAACAUUUGGAGAUUUUCAUCCUUGAGGAUUGUAUCGGACCGGAGAGGAUUCACCAUUCUAUCGGAGAUGUUAAGAGCCUCAUUUCCCUGUACUUGAGGAAUUGCAAGAGACUUCGGGAGUUAAAUCUCGUCUUCUCAGAAGAAAUGACGAAGAGUUGGGCCAUGGAGGAUGAAUUCUAAUUCAAAACUUAAUGAAUUUGUAGGUUUGGACCAUUUUGUGUGGAGUGGUUCAACUCUGGCGAUGAACCCAUUAAUGUACUAACGCUCAUGGUUGUGACUGGUCCUUGAGUCAUUUUUCUCUUAUGGUCUUCGAUCAGCUAGUGUUCUGUUGGAAGUGUUUCACUAGGACUUGCCUGUUUAACGAGACGACUUGACACAA